rnacentral:lncRNA from 1 species
GUCUGCUCUGGGACUUGGAACAAAAGGGGAAACUCUGAUGAACUCCUUCUCCAGCUCCCUGGACGCCCGAGUAUCUCUUUCUCGCAACUUUGUCAACGCGACUUUCUCCGCUGUCAGGCUGCGCAAAAGUAUCCUAGCGCCUCGCAGGCUGCAACAAUGGAAACAAUGUCCCUUCAAAGUGCGACGAAGUGGAGGGAGAAGGUGUCAUACCAGCGACUCCAAGAGUCAUGUCACCCACUUAGCAGGAGUACUUCUACUGAAAUGCCUUCGAAUUUCUCUUACUGGAUAUAUACCUACCAGCCGCUAGCAUGAAGAUGCCAGGACCGCUGCAAGUUAGCACUGGACAAAGUAGCAUCAACUUCUUCAUUUAGAGUUUCUUCAGUUAAAUUGCUGGGAUUUUCGACAAGGCUUUCCUUAUGUGGAUUAUUGGAGUGUGAUGCCCGAGAAUUCUCUACUUGUAGAAGCACGCCCACGGGACUGCAGAAGCCUUCACACCCACCCAGCACGCUCAGAUGGGAAUGAGUGAUGGCCAUCCAGUGACCAGCUGGAUCUGACUGCCUUACAAGACGCAUGUGUAUGAUUAAGAGAGAGACAUUCGUGACUCCCAGAUGUACCUCCUUCCUGUCCCACAGUGUUCCUGAAGGGAGUGAGUUAUGGGGUAACUUAUAACACAGCAGGCUCUUCCUCAAGAUAGCUCUUGUCAAAACAGGAAGACGAAACUCGGGUUUCCAUGAGGAGACCACAGCUUGGGAUCCUGUCUGGAUGUACAAGCAGAAGCAUCUUCAUACUUUUCCAUUUCUAACCAUCAUGCCUCACCCCACCCUCCCAAGGCGACAUCUGCAGAGAGGAGAAUGAGGAGGAAGAGGAGGAGAAAGAGGAGGAGGAAGUAAGACAGAGGGGGACAAGAGGACCAAGAGGGCACAUGGCUGAGGAGGAGGAGAACAACAACAACAACAACAACAACAACAACAACAAGAAGCUUGGUGUUUUCAGGAUGUGUUCCUGAGUCUCGUGAGUAGCACAUGGCAGUUGUUGUCACCUUGGGCUGAGCCGUGAAGAUUCUCACCCUCCCUUGUUGGGGAUGAACUCCGGGAUUCUAAGGAGAGGUCAGCAGGUGUUUCACAGACUGUUCCUGUUGGAGGAUUUGUCUGAUACUCUUCUCCUGAUUAGUCUGGGCUCUACAUUUCCCCAAGGGUGAAACUUGGAAGCCCUCUCCAGGAUGCAGCAGGUAGCUGAGGAGAAAACGAAGACUGACCAGCCCAGAGCUCAGAGCUUCCUCCCAUGCUCAGGAUUUACCACCAAUGCCAUUACAUCGGCCUCUUCUUGUAUGCCUCUGGAAACCACAUGUGUCCUCUGUUUGUAAUGGUUUGGCUAUGGUUGCUGGCCCCUCUUGGACAUUGUUUUCAGAACUUAAAGAAACAUUGCUUUAAAGAUUUAUUAGAACAUAUUUAAAAUAAAACCAUCUUCUCAUUUAG